rnacentral:misc_RNA from 1 species
UUCACUGCACACCAUUUACAAUUUUCCAUCAAUUAGUCUAAAGAAUGAACAUAUCAGUUUCGAGAAUACAACAAAAAGCCUAGCCACAUCAAUACCCAUUUUCUAAACGAGAUCUACUAGUACUUGCAGGACACUGAAAUUGAUCUUCCGCUGCCCUAGAUCUUGAAUAACAUUAAAAGCGUACGAAAAGCUAGAACAUAAAAGCUUAAAGAUACAACAAAUCAAACGAGUAUAUUAUAAAGUCCCAGCAUUCUAUAAACAGAGAUACAUU